rnacentral:rRNA from 1 species
GACGAACGCUGGCGGCGUGCUUAAAACAUGCAAGUCGAACGGGGUCCAACCUUCGGGUGAAGACCUAGUGGCGAACGGGUGAGUAACACGUGAGCAACCUACCCCAGAGACCGGGAUAAGCCAGGGAAACUUGGUCUAAUACCGGAUAAUCUCCUCCCGCUACUAACGGGUUGAGCAAAUGGUUUUUUCGUCUUUGGGUA